rnacentral:lncRNA from 1 species
CCAGGGCCAGACAUUGGUGGUGGGGGCAGAAAGGAGGAUUUCAGAGCUCCCUGCUGUUACUGGUUCCCUCUCAGCCUAGGGUUGCUGCCAGUAGAAUCACCUCCUUCAAGUAUCAGUUUCCAGGAAGCCCUGUUCAAGGCAUGUUACCUGUGGGAAGCAGGUGACACAUGAACCCUUAGCACCAAUUAUGGGAGAUCUGGCAGGAAGGCUGGGGAGAGCUGCUUUUCUGACUCCUUAGGUGAGACAUAAUCUAGGUUGGCUAUGAUUGUGGAAAGUAUUGAUCAGCCAGUAGUGGCCACAACUUGGGAAGGCAAGGAAAAUGGGUUUGCCAAAGGGGAAUUGGUUCUUCCAAAGGUGAAGUCAAAUCAGUCUUACUGUUAUCCAUACUGGUCCCUAGAGGUUAAGUUUUUUUCUCAUGGUGCCAACACUUAUCGUCAGACUAGAAUUCUCUAGACAGAACUCUGUGACUUCAGACUUUGAACAUUUCAUCUGGUAUGUCAUGGUAUUCCAAAUUAAGUGUAUUGCCUGAGGGACCAGAGGCAUCAAGGGCAUCUUGCUCCUGCCACCUAAUGGUGAGUUUUCAUCAGGUAUGAUCUAAACACAGCUCUCCAUGGCCAGCUCUGGGAGGUGGGGGAGGGAAUGCCCAGGGGUGAAUCAGCCCCUGGUCUGCCUACGGGCUAGGUGGCUGAGGAGACUGAGAUCCAUGGGGUUCCUAUCUGGAAACAAAGUAUUGAGAACAACAAUUUAUUCCAGUUUCAAAAGCUUGU